rnacentral:tRNA from 1 species
CGCAGGGUGGCGCAGUCCGGUAGCGCGCUUGGCUCAUACCCAAGAGGACGCGGGUUCAAAUCCCGCUCCUGCAACCA